rnacentral:rRNA from 1 species
UAGUCCACGCCGUAAACGAUGAGUGCUAGACGUUGGAGGGUUUUCCUUCAGUGUUGAAGCUAACGCAUGAAGCACUCCGCCUGAGUAGUACGGUCGCAAGAUUAAAACUUAAAGGAAUUGACGGGGGCCCGCACAAGCGGUGGAGCAUGCGGUUUAAUUCGAAGCAACGCGCAGAACCUUACCAACCCUUGACAUCCUGUGCUACUUCCAGAGAUGGAACGUUCCCUUCGGGGACGCAGUGACAGGUGCUGCAUGGCUGUCGUCAGCUCGUGUCGUGAGAUGUUCGGUUAAGUCCGGCAACGAGCGCAACCCACAUCUUUAGUUGCCAGCAGUUCGGCUGGGCACUCUAAAGAAACUGCCCGUGAUAAGCGGGAGGAAGGUGUGGAUGACGUCAAGUCCUCAUGGCCCUUACGGGUUGGGCUACACACGUGCUACAAUGGUAGUGACAAUGGGUUAAUCCCCAAAAACUAUCUCAGUUCGGAUUGGGGUCUGCAACUCGACCCCAUG